CUGAGGAAUUGAACCCAGGGCUUCAUGCAUGCUAAACACUCUACCACUAAGCCACAUUCCCAGCCCCAAGUAGUUUUUAAAGUAAAGUUAAAAGACUUGUAGCCUAUCUCUGCCAGGCACCAAUGGCUUCAAAGGUUGGGUUUCAAAUCCAACCUAACAGACUCUUAUUCAAUUAACUAGCAAAAAGCCCUAAGUAGAGACAUGGCUCAACAGUACUGGCACAA